UACGUAGGGCGCAAGCGUUAAUCGGAAUUACUGGGCGUAAAGCGUGCGCAGGCGGUUAUAUAAGACAGAUGUGAAAUCCACGAGCUUAACUUGGGAACUGCAUUUGUGACUGUAUAGCUAGAGUACGGCAGAGGGGGAUGGAAUUCCGCGUGUAGCAGUGAAAUGCGUAGAUAUGCGGAGGAACACCGAUGGCGAAGGCAAUCCCCUGGGCCUGUACUGACGCUCAUGCACGAAAGCGUGGGGAGCAAACAGGAUUAGAAACCCGCGUAGUCC
rnacentral:rRNA from 1 species